UAGGCAGCCACCACAGAGGACAUCUGUUUGC
rnacentral:piRNA from 1 species